AAAAACAAUAAAUUUUUUAAGAGUAUUUUUAUAAUCUAUUAAUUUUUUUUUUCAAUACUUUAAUUUAAUUGCAUGAAAAAAGCGGACGACGAACUAUUAGUUUUUGACGAUCCAUUAGAUGAUGGCAAUUUAUCAAGCGUUGGCGAUUUAGG